AUCAAUCUUCAAUUUUUCAACAGAAACAAAAUAGUCAAUUUUAACAUUUUCUAGAAUCAAAGUAAUCAAGAGAAUCAAUAAAGGUAGAAUGAAGUUGGGCAAUGAAAUAUUUGAUGUAAAUGGAUGGAAAAUAAUACAAUAUUUGAAGUUUCUUUUCCUCAUAUGAUCAAACAACAUCUAUGAAUGUUCUUCUUCAGAAUAGCGACCGUGUGUCGACUAAACUUGAAAAUGGAUAUUGUCAAAUAACAAUAUCCUUCUCAUGAGGACAAAUAACAAUGGAUCUUCUUUGCAACCUUAUCCUUCUCAAUGUUCUCAUACUUUGAAGAAAAUCCUAAAUAAGAUGUGUCAUCUAAUAAAAUAUUUUGGUGGAAUUAAAUUUUUUGAUCGAUGUGGGUGUCAUAUUGGUUACGUGCGCUGUUGGAGAUAGCCUCGAGAUCGAUGCAAGAUCUUGUUCGGCUAUCUAUGUAUUUAAUGAUCAAGGUACACCGUCCGAUGGAAGAUAAACGAUGGGAGACGAGCAUGAAAUUUUAAUAUGAUCAACCUCGAGUGACGAUUCAUUUUAUCUUAUCUUAUCAAGUGUAUCCUUAAAAUUUAAAACUGGGCUCAUUUGCAUCCUUAAUAAGAAUAAGAGACGGAAAGAAAACCCUAGCAGUGUUGCAAUGGGCAGUCAUCUCAGACAUCUUCGUUUCAUGCUUCUCAGGUUUUAAGAUGCAAUAAGCAGAUCAACGCCUAAGUUUAGCUAGGUCUUAAUUUUCAAUACAUCUUUCAUUUCUCAUCGGCUAGAUCUUCUUUUUUGCAGCAAAAGAUCAUACUCGAUAACUACGGCGGAGGCUAGGGUGACGGUACAAAUAACGAAAGAUGCAGGUUGUUCUUCUAAUCAACACGGUGAUAGUUUUGAGAACAAGAUGUUCUGGAUGAGAGAUCCGAAGACGGGGUUUUGGAUUCCUGAGAAUCACUUCGAUGAUUUAGACGUGGCAGAUCUCAGACGACUUCGUCGGAUCGGAAAGUAGAACGACUGGCAAUAACUGACGGAUCUUUUCUUAUUUAUUUCCUUAUUAAAUUCCAAUCGACGUUUGUUUUGAGGGAGAAGAAAAAUAACGCAAAGUUUGAAUAUUUUUUAUUUUGAUUUUUCUCCUUCCAUAAAACUUAUUCAUACAAUUAGCCAUUACUUGCAAAAUAUCCAAAUAUAUCGAUCAGAUCGUGCUUUUCCACCACCUUGACGGUUUAAUAAGAUCGUG
rnacentral:lncRNA from 1 species